AGUAAUACAUAAGUAACCUGCCCUAGACAGGGGGAUAACUAUUGGGAAACGAUAGCUAAGACCGCAUAGGUACGGACACUGCAUGGUGACCGUAUUAAAAGUGCCUCAAAGCACUGGUAGAGGAUGGACUUAUGGCGCAUUAGCUGGUUGGCGGGGUAACGGCCCACCAAGGCGACGAUGCGUAGCCGACCUGAGAGGGUGACCGGCCACACUGGGACUGAGACACGGCCCAGACUCCUACGGGAGGCAGCAUG
rnacentral:rRNA from 1 species